CUGUCUGGGGGUAAACAUGUUUCUGAAAAUGAAGAUGGUUUUUAUUCUUCCAGACUGGCCUACUUCCUGUGAAUGCAGUUAUUCCCAGGUGUGCGUGUUUGUGUUCAAAGAAAGGAUAUGAUAAACUAUUCGUGGUCCCAGCCUGAGAGGGCUUUGGAAUCAUGGAGUGCAAAACUCAGCCCCACAUCAGAAUGGAUACAUGUCUGAUGGAACAAACCUGGCCUGGCAACAUCACCUUUCCUGGACUCCAUUUUAUCAUUGCUGAGUUGGAUAGAGGGAGCAAUGGUCAGAGCCCUCACUGACCACUGUGAGUGAACCCCAGACCAUUAGCCCUGGGUCUCAAAGGUGUUUAAGGCAGGAAAACUGGGAGGAAUUGAGGGACUACAAACAACCAGCCAAAGAGGGCAUUGCUCACCUCUAAGGUGAGUACUGUUACUACCUCCAUUUGACUAAUGAAGAAACAGACUUAAAGAGGUUAAGUACCUGGUAAGUGAAC
rnacentral:lncRNA from 1 species